rnacentral:rRNA from 1 species
UAUUUAUUAGAUAAAAAACCAACGCCCUUCGGGGCUCCUUGGUGAAUCAUAAUAACUUAACGAAUCGCAUGGCCUUGCGCCGGCGAUGGUUCAUUCAAAUUUCUGCCCUAUCAACUUUCGAUGGUAGGAUAGUGGCCUACCAUGGUGGCAACGGGUAACGGGGAAUUAGGGUUCGAUUCCGGAGAGGGAGCCUGAGAAACGGCUACCACAUCCAAGGAAGGCAGCAGGCGCGCAAAUUACCCAAUCCCGAUACGGGUAGGUAGUGACAAUAAAUACUGAUACGGGGCUCUUUUGGGUCUCGUAAUUGGAAUGAGAACAAUUUAAAUCCCUUAACGAGGAACAAUUGGAGGGCAAGUCUGGUGCCAGCAGCCGCGGUAAUUCCAGCUCCAAUAGCGUAUAUUAAAGUUGUUGCAGUUAAAAAGCUCGUAGUUGAACCUUGGGUCUGGCUGGCCGGUCCGCCUCACCGCGAGUACUGGUCCGGCUGGACCUUUCCUUCUGGGGAACCUCAUGGCCUUCACUGGCUGUGGGGGGAACCAGGACUUUUACUGUGAAAAAAUUAGAGUGUUCAAAGCAGGC